rnacentral:misc_RNA from 1 species
UCCGGUUUGUCACCGGCAGUCUCCUUAGAGUGCUCUUGCGUAGCAACUAAGGACAAGGGUUGCGCUCGUUGCGGGACUUAACCCAACAUCUCACGACACGAGCUGACGACAGCCAUGCAGCACCUGUGUAACGGCUCUCUUGCGAGCACCCCAACCUCUCAGUCAGGUUCCGUCCAUGUCAAGGGUAGGUAAGGUUUUUCGCGUUGCAUCGAAUUAAUCCACAUCAUCCACCGCUUGUGCGGGUCCCCGUCAAUUCCUUUGAGUUUUAAUCUUGCGACCGUACUCCCCAGGCGGUCAACUUCACGCGUUAGCUUCGUUACCAAGGAUUAACAUCCCCAACAACUAGUUGACAUCGUUUAGGGCGUGGACUAC